UGGUUCAGGCCAUGACUCAGUAGUUCCCAUACAAAUAGGCCUAUGUUACAGUUAAUGCAAUGGGAUCUAGCGAUAAGAGUAAUGCUUUUUAAAAAAAAUAAAGCGUGAUUAUCUAGUUCCUUUUAUUUUAAAAGCAGAAGCUCCAGGUGAGGAGCUACUCUAAAACAAAUUCAUCAGAAUGUUCAAGCUGGAAGUGGCAGGUGAAGAAAGUUUUGGGGAUGCUCUUCAGUGCAUUGCCAUGAGGAACCUUGGUGAUGGACAAUGGAGUCAUUCUGCUCGGUGGAACAGACCCCCACCUCGGCACAAAGACCAUUUAAAUUCUCAACAUGAUGCUACAGGCAGAUACAGAAGAUAAGAGAGAAGAUUAUGCUGUGUAACAGUAUAAAGACAUGGGAUGAAAAUGCCAGCCCUCCAGAUUAAAAACCCCUUUGGUCCGUAAGUGUUGCAUUUUGUGGCUCAGUUUAAGCUAUUUCUUAUGUAAUGAUUUAGUACCAUGAGCGCUGUGCAACCUCAGGGCAGAGUGCCCCUGUUCCCAAGGCUUUGUCUGUUGCUUUCCACCCUUUGCCUGUCUCCUGGAGCCUGCCUUGGUGCACCACUGAGA
rnacentral:lncRNA from 1 species